rnacentral:rRNA from 1 species
AAUCAACGCUGGCGGCGUGCCUCAGACAUGCAAGUCGAACGAUUAAGACUUCCUUCGGGAAGUGCAUAAAGUGGCGCACGGGUGAGUAACACGUAAGUAAUCUACCCUCGAGUGGGGAAUAACGUUCGGAAACGGACGCUAAUACCGCAUAACGCAGCGGCACCGCAAGGUGACAGUUGUUAAAGGAGCAAUCCGCUUAAAGAGGAGCUUGCGGCAGAUUAGCUAGUUGGUAAGGUAAUGGCUUACCAAGGCUACGAUCUGUAACCGGUCUUAGAGGACGGUCGGUCACACUGACACUGAAUAACGGGUCAGACUCCUACGGGAGGCAGCAGUCGGGAAUUUUGGGCAAUGGGCGAAAGCCUGACCCAGCAACGCCGCGUGAAGGAUGAAGUAUUUCGGUAUGUAAACUUCGAAAGAAUAGGAAGAAUUAAUGACGGUACUAUUUAUAAGGUCCGGCUAACUACGUG